AAAUGGUAAUUAUAAUAAACUGGUUGCGGGUUCGUUUCAAAAUGAGUUGGGACACGUCUUAGUAUUGUGUGCGAAUGAAAAAAUUGACCGACCGACACUUUAGCGUACAACCUGGACCACCGUGUCUAGAAAUUUGAACGUUUUGCGCGAACGCGGUCCCUUAUACAAUUUAGACAAUCGUAACGAGAGGAUUUUUCAAAAUUCAACCCCCAAGCGGCGCAAAAAUGGUGUCGAAGUUUGUUUACAAUACGAACGGCUGGGUGUAGAAACUCGAAAUUUCGCACAGCGGUUUCUUAUACGACUUGUACAGGGGACCGCCGUAAGAAAAGUCCUUUUUCGAAAGUCCACUAUUAAGAGGUUUAACAGGAGUUAAAAUACAUUAUGUUUGAAAGUUUAAUAACCCAAAACUGUGUGUUUGUGUGCGUGCGGGGAAUUUACCGGUGAACAGUCGAACGCGUUUUUGGCCGAUGUCAGAACCGUAACCCCCCGGGGAGUUGAAAAUAGGUGUCAAAGUUACACGAAGACAAAUUUACAAUGCGCUUAAUAACCCGAAACCCCGGGCAAACAAUCUCAAUCGAGUGUUGAAAACGGGUGUCG